rnacentral:tRNA from 1 species
GGCCCCAUAGUCUAGCGGUUAGGACGGCGCCCUCUCACGGCGCAGUCCCGGGUUCGAUUCCCGGUGGGGUCA